UACAGAGGCCACGAGCGUUAGGCGGAAUCACUGGGCUUAAAGCGUGUGUAGGUGGAUGGGUAAGUACCUUGUGAAAUCCCACGACUCAAUCGUGGAACUGCUUGGUAUACUGUCUGUCUUGAGGCACUCAGGGGCGAGCGGAACAGAUGGUGGAGCGGUGAAAAUGCGGUAGAUAUCAUCUGGAACGCCAAUGGUGAAGACAGCUCGCUGGGGGUGUACUGACACUGAGACACGAAAGCCAGGGGAGCAAACGGG
rnacentral:rRNA from 1 species